AAUCAACGCUGGCGGCGUGCCUCAGACAUGCAAGUCGAACGCGAAAGUUCCCUUCGGGGGAUGAGUAGAGUGGCGCACGGGUGAGUAACACGUAGGUAAUCUACCUUUGGAUGGGGAAGUAACAACCGGAAACGGUUGCUAAUACCGCAUAAUGCAGCGGCACCUAAUGGUGACAGUUGUUAAAGCGGGGGAGUCGAAAGACCUCGCGUCUGAAGAGGAGCCUGCGGCGGAUUAGCAGUUGGUAAGGUAACGGCUUACCAAGGCGACGAUCCGUAGCCGGCCUGAGGAGGGCGGUCGGCCACACUGACACUGACAUACGGGUCA
rnacentral:rRNA from 1 species